rnacentral:lncRNA from 1 species
CCAGAGGUCAAAUCGGACCCCUAGUCUACACGACAGCCACAGCCACAGCAACAAUGGAUCUGGGCUUCAUCUGUGACUUACACCACAGCUUGGGGUAAUGCUGGAUCCUGAGCGAGGCCAGGGAUUGAAUCUACAACCUCACGGACACCAUGUUCUUAACCUGCUGAGCCACAACACGAACUCCUGGCACAACAUUACAGAUCAAUUAUAAUAAAAAUUUUUAAAUAAUAAAGAGCACCCAAUUUCAAAAGAAAAUGCUAUAUGCAUAAUUAGUUAGGAGUGGAGUUCCCGCCAUAUCAUAGUGGGUUAAGAGAUUGCAACAGCUCAAGUCACUGUGGAGGUGCAAGUUUGAUCCCCGCCCCAGCACCAGCACAGUGGGUUAAAGGAUCCAGUGUUGCCACAGCUGCAGUGUAGGUUGCAGGCACAGCUUGGAUUUAAUCCCUGACUUGGGUACUUUCAUAUACCUUGGGUGCAGCCUUUAAAAAAUAGUUAGGAGUGGUCUUGGAGAUAAAGACCUUAUUUAGAGUAAAUAAACCCUUUAAAGAGCCAAGUAUCUACCUUAAUACAGUAAGAAGUGAUCAAGACAGGAUUGGGGAAAGGAGUGCCUUCGGUGUAGCUAGAGAAACAUGACAUUUGGAAGAGAUUUAGCCUUCACUGUGGAGGCAUGGAUUGGUCUGACAUUUUUUUCUUAUUGUGACAGUUUUUUUGGGGGGUGGGGGGCAUGCAGGUGUGGCAUAUGGAGGUUCCCAGGCUGGGGGCUAAUCAUAACUACAGCUGCCAGCCAACACCUACACUCUACCAGCUAGCUCUGAGCUGCAUCUAUCUCUAAGCUACACCACACCUCACUGGCAAUGCCUUAUCCUUAACUCACUGAGCAGAGCCACGGAUCGAACCUGCAUCCUCAUGGAUACUAGUGGGGUUUGUUUCUGCUGAGCCACAACGGGAAAUCUUUAUUGUGGCAGUUUUGAGAAGAUUACUUUUUAGGAAUUUUUCCACUUGUUUGUCUACGAUAAAAAUAGUAUUAUGACUUCUGGAUUUGCUAAAACAGAAGAAAAAAAAAAAAAAAAGGCACAAUAUACCUAGAGAUGUUUAGAAUUCCUGAGAUAGGCUGGGCAACAUCCUUUGGCAUCUGCCACUGUAAAAAUCUGGACUAAGUGCUGCUGGCCCAUUGUCCAAAGAAGCCUCCAGGCCCUGGUGUGUGAGAAACCACAGAGGCCCUGGAGAUAGGUGUCGGUCAGAGCUCAAGACUAAAAGUAAAACUAAUUAUUCUUUACAGGGAAAAACGGGUGUCAUGGAGAACACGAUUUCUUUAACUAUUAACAGCAGUAAAUCCAAGAGCUGAUAAAAGAGUCUGGAAUAAACACGUCACGUAUUUCUUGGAGUUCCUGACUAGUAUCCAUGAGGAUGUGAAUUCGAUCCCUGGCCUUGCUCAGUGGGUUAAGGAUCCGGUGUGGCCAUGAGCUGUGGUGAAGGCUGAAGAUGCUGCUCGGAUCUGACGCUGCUGUGGCUGUGGUGCAGGCUGGCAACCGUAGCGCCAAUUGGACCCCUAGCCUGGGAACUUCCACAUGCUGCACGUGCGUGCGGCCCUAAAAAGACAAAAAACAAAAACAAAAAAACUGAAUAUGUUUCUUCACCUGUAAAAUGAGGGUUUUGAGUUAGGUGUAGUGGAAGUUCCUUCCAGAGAUCACUGCUUAUGUUUCCAAGCCUUUUUGUUUUUUGUUUUUCAAAAUAUAAUGCAAGGAAGUGUUGAGAAAAAUUGAGCUUAAAACACUGUGAAUAUGCAUGUAUUAUUUUUUAUUUCUUUUAACUCUUGUUCCAGAUAUGAGUGAUAUUUUUCAUUUUAAACCUGGGAACCUCCCUAUGCUGCAGGUGUGGCGCUAAAGAAACAAAGGACAAAAAAAAAAAAAAAAAAAAAAAGGAUAAUAAUACCUUUUUAUAAAGUUGCACAGAUCAAAUAUCACCUGUAAGUAGGUGCAAAUAUUCUGUGACUUUGCUUGGACAGUAGGGCGGGGGGAUGGGGAGGGAGGACAAGAGGAAGGGAGGAGGGAGGGGUCUGAGGGAGGGAGGAGGGAAGAGACUGACAGUUCACCCAUCUCAGCGCUUCUGUGAUUUUGAGCAGCAUGUUGAUGUUUUUCUCUCUCCCCGCUUUCCACUCUGCUUAUACCCUCACCUUGGGAAUAUAGUAAUUUUUAAAUAUAGUAUUUGUGGUGGUUGCAUGGGCUAGGCCUGUGGGCAGGAUAUCUGCAAAUCUCUGCACUUGAUGAAUGACAGCGUCCGUGAAGGGCAUCUGAGGUCGGUGUGCAGUUCGAGGCUGGGUGGACCCCAUGACUCUGAUGAUCUCCUCAUGGACCUUUGCUGGAUAAAGUGAAGAGCAGGUAGAUUCCGGGGUGGGAAAGGGUGUUGGAACAGUUUUCUUUCUUUUUUCUUUUUUUUGUCUUUUUAGGGCUGAACUUGCAGCAUAUGGAGGUUCCCAGGCUAGGGGUCAAAUUGGAGCUGCAGCUGCCAGUGUACGCCAGAGCCACAGCAAUGCGGGAUCAGAGCUGCGUCUGCGAUCUACACCACAGCUCACAGCAAAGCCGAUCCUUAACCCACUGAAUGAGGCCAGGGAUGGAACCUGUGUUCUCAUGGGUACCAGUCGGUUUUAUUACAACUGAGCCACGACGGGAACUUUCCCCAUUUUCUUUAGACGUGAAAGUGAACCCAAGUGCUAAGUUCUGACUCAUAUUCCCUGGCCCGCUCCCCCCUCCCCACUUGCUUCCACGCCCCCAGGCCUCUGGGGACCUGCGUGUAGUGAUGCCUUCAGACCAUAUGAAGAUGCUUUGCAAAAAUCUGCUUUCUUAGAUCAUGGGAAAACUAAAGGGGAGUUCUCUCGUGGCUCAGUGGGUUAAGGACCUGGUGUUGUCACUGCUGUGGGACCAGUUCGAUCCCUGGCCUGGGAACAUGCUGUAGGCAAGGCCAAAAAAAUAAAAAUAAAAAAAUUAAGCCAGGUAACUUUUACAUGCCAUGGGUACAGCCAAUAAUGAUGAUGAUGAUAAAAGUUAAAAAAAGAAAGCUAGGGAGUUCCCAUCAUGGUGCAGCAGAAACGUACACGACUAGUAUCCAUGAGGAUGCAGGUUCGAUCCCUGGUCUUGCUCAAUGGGUUAAGGAUCUGGCGUAACCGUGAACUGUGGUGUAGGUCACACACGGGCUCGGAUCUGAUGUUGCUGUGGCUGUGGUGUAUGCUGGCAGUAGCAGCUCUGAUUCAGCCCCUAGCCUGGGAACUUCCUGAUGCCAUGGGUGCAGCCCUAAAAAGCAAUAAAUUAAAAAAAUAAAAUAAAAUAAUAAAAAAAGAAGGCUGAAGGUACAUAACUAGUGGGAGAAGUGAAAGAUGACCAGGAUAGUAAGAAUUUACUAAAAACCAUAUAAUGAACUAUUUAUUGGUUCACAGUCUUUGCAUCAUAAGAUACUUGAUGCAGUGAUCUGUGCUGGGAAAAUUAUCAGAUAGCUUAACCAAGCAGACCUGUCACAUCUCUGAUACUCAGAACGUUCUAGAAAGCGUACAUUUUUGAAGUGGCAGUUGUCUAGUACAUACUUUUUCAUGGUCUCUGGAAUAAUCAGAGGAAGUAAAAGUGAAUAGAUAAGAUAGUUACUGCAAUUCUACGACUCCCAAUGAGUUUCACAUUUUCACUAGUCAAGGUUAAGAGUCUCAGGAACUGGGGGUCUUGAUGGUCAAACCGUUUUCCAAAUAACACGGACACAAUGACGUUAGCAACGGAAGCAUUCAUUACCGUUGUGACCUCAAAGGGCUUUCCUGCAAGAGAAUUCAUUAAUCGGUUCAGAAGUACAGGUGCCCCUGUUUUUCAAACGUUUCCCUUAUGCCACUUCGCUUUCACAAAAGACCCACGUUAGUACUUGUUUUCGCAAACCAAAAGAAAUCCAGAGAGGAUUUUCGCUUUUUCAAAAAAAGGCAAAGAGCAAAAAUACCGUUCAGUGUUUUGUACAGUUUUGCUUUUUUUGCAGUAAGCUCUUAUAGAGGCAGUUUGCACCUGGAUUAGUGAGGGGGGCGCCACCAAGUGUCUUCCCCAGGAACUACACUCAGCAUCUCAGCGUCAAGCCACCAUAACUUUGAACUAUCUGUGAGCAUCCGUGCUUUAAUCUCCAUUUACUCUGUGCAUCUCUUAUAGAGAUGAACCCCAAGGUAUUUGCUUCUUAAUUUUACGCUAUUUUCUUUUACGAAAGGGUUCAUAGGAGAGCUUUACUUUUGGGUAGUAGGAGACACCUGUAUUUACAUACACAAUAUUAAACCAGUUUCGGUCUGAUUGAGACAGACUGUCAAGUAACGAUUUGAUAGAGGAAAGGGGUUAUUGGGGACCAUACCUUGUAAUGAGAGGUGAGACUAGACUGGGCCUUGAAAAAGACUCAGGGUUUGGUUGAAAUGUUGCUACAAGGAAAAAUGAAAGCCUGUGUCCAAGGAAAUCUGCAUUUGAUUCAAAGAAAUUAAAUUGUGCAGGUGACAGGCUUUCAGGUGUGUGCCCAUGUGCAUAAGGAGGUAUUAGUGCAUGAUAGCUGGGAAAAUAUUUCCAUCGACCAGGCUGCAUUCAAGUUUAAAAGUGUAAAAUAGGACAUCUAGAUGGUUAAAUAAUUCUACCUUUUUCCCUCCUUUUUCUUUUUUAGGGCCACAUCGGUGGCAAACGGAAGUUCCCAGGCUAGGGGUUGAAUUGGAGCUGCAACUGCUGGCCUGCACCAUAGCCACAGCAACAGCAACAGCAAUGCGGGAUCCCAGCUGUCUGCAAGCUACACCCCAGCUCACGGCAACUCCGGAUCCUUAACGCACUGAACAAGGCCAGGGAUCAAACCUGUAUCUUCAUGGAUCCUAGCCGGGUUCAUUACCCCUGAGCCACGACUGGAACUCCUAAAUAAUUCUACUUUAAAGAACUUCAUCCAGAGCAAUUCCUUGUUUUAGCCUCUUCCGCUGCUGGGUUCUGUUUUUGUCAGUAUCACUGAAGCCUAUUCAGAUGAUUAAACUUGUAUCGGUGGGUGGGCAUUUAUUUUUAAGUGAAGAGUGUUCUUGUUGCUAAGAUUCACUCUUCACAUCAUCACCUACCUGAAAUGUGGAGCUAAAAGGGAAGGUCUUGUAGAGGAUGUGUUUUCUUCUUCAUAUACAAAUGAAAGGCUGUAUGGGACGCUGUGUACACAAAGACCUAAGAAAUGAACGUUUCUUAGGAGCUUAACGUCAGAGAAGAAAGGGUCAUUUUUUUCUUUUUUCUUUUUUGUCUUUUUGCCUUUUUCUAGGGCCGCUCCCGUGGCAUAUGGACUUCCCAGGCUAGGGGUCUAAUGGGAGCUGUAGCUGCUGGCCUACGCCAGAGCCACAGCAACUCGGUAUCCGAGCCACGUCUGUGAUCUACACACAACUCAUGGCAACGCCAGAUCCUUAACCCACUGAGCAAGGCCAGGGAUCGAACCUGCAACCUCAUGGAUCCUGGUCGGAUUCGUUAAUCACUGAGCCAUGACGGGAACUCCAAGAGUCAUUUUUCUAUAUGCAUGUUCUUCAAACUGCUAAGAGCCUCUCCUUCGAAAUGUACUGACUGGGUCUGCUAAGUUAGCACAUGGGUUCCCCCAAACUUCUGUUUCUCCCCUGCAUUCAUCUCCAGGCUGUCUGCCUUUGACCUUUUCUCUUCAGAUUCAUUUCUGCAUCAGUGAAAAUUAUAUUCAAAUGAACUCAUUUUUAGCAGGGAAUGAGCUCGAUUUAUUAAGGAAAUGAGAAAACUCUUGCCAUGAAAAUGAGCUUUUGGAUUAUACAUCCCACAAAUUGAUAAAAGUAAUGUGGAAUUAACUCAACAUUAAAGGUAUCAGAAAUGUACCUGUUAUUGAGAAAACUUUUCCAGAUUAAAGGAGGCAAAAGAGAUGUGACAGCUGAAUGCGGUGUGUGAGCCUGGAUUUAUUUAGGUCCUUAGUAGGGACAGUGGUGAAAUCUGAAUAAAUUCUGCAGCUUAGUCGAUAACUUCAUGUCAAUGUUAAUUUCCCGGUUUUUGAAAAUGGCUCUUUGGUUAUAGAAGAGAAUGUUUUUGCCUAUUUUAAGGAAACCCAUUGAAGUAUUUAAGAAUAAAGGGAUAUUGCAAAAUAUCUCAAACAGUUCAGAAAAAGAGAAAACGAAUGUGGCAUUUUGACAUUUGGGGGAAUUUUGGAGAAGGCUAGAAGGAUAUUGGGUAUUAUUUGUGUAGUGCUGGAAUUUUCCUACAAGUCUGCAUUGUGUCAAGAUAAGUUAUUAAACAGAUACCUUUUGUUGACCUCUUUCUCAUGAAAAAAAAAAAAAA